rnacentral:rRNA from 1 species
CACGUAGGGCGCAAGCGUUGUCCGGAAUUAUUGGGCGUAAAGAGCUCGUAGGCGGUCUGUUGCGUCCGCUGUGAAAACUCAGGGCUUAACCCUGAGCCUGCUUCCGAUACGGGCAGACUAGAGGUAUGCAGGGGAGAACGGAAUUCCUGGUGUAGCGGUGAAAUGCGCAGAUAUCAGGAGGAACACCGGUGGCGAAGGCG